rnacentral:rRNA from 1 species
UGCCAGCCGCCGCGGUAACACGGGGGGCGCAAGCGUUAUUCGGAAUUAUUGGGCGUAAAGCGCGUGUAGGCGGUUCGUUAAGUCUGAUGUGAAAGCCCGGGGCUCAACCCCGGAAGUGCAUUGGAAACUGGCGAACUUGAGUACGGGAGAGGAAAGUGGAAUUCCGAGUGUAGGGGUGAAAUCCGUAGAUAUUCGGAGGAACACCAGUGGCGAAGGCGGUUCUCUGGGCCGGCACUGACGCUGAGGAGCGAAAGCGUGGGUAGCAAACAGGAUUAGAUA